GUAGGUGGCAAGCGUUGUCCGGAAUUAUUGGGCGUAAAGCGCGCGCAGGCGGUUCUUUAAGUCUGAUGUGAAAGCCCACGGCUCAACCGUGGAGGGUCAUUGGAAACUGGAGAACUUGAGUACAGAAGAGGAAAGCGGAAUUCCACGUGUAGCGGUGAAAUGCGUAGAGAUGCGGAGGAACACCAGUGGCGAAGGCGGCUUUCUGGUCUGUAACUGACGCUGAGGCGCGAAAGCGCGGGGAGCAAACAGGAUUAGAUACCCUGGUAGUCCACGCCGUAAACGAUGAGUGCUAAGUGUUAGGGGGGUUUUCCGCCCCCCUUAGUGCUGCAGCUAACGCAUUAAGCACUCCGCCUGGGAGUACGGCCGCAAGGCUG
rnacentral:rRNA from 1 species